AAUCAACGCUGGCGGCGUGCCUCAGACAUGCAAGUCGAACGAUUAAAGCUCUCUUCGGAGAGUGUAUAGAGUGGCGCACGGGUGAGUAACGCGUAAGUAAUCUACCCUCGAGUGGGGAAUAACAACCGGAAACGGUUGCUAAUACCGCAUAAUGCAGCGGCACCGCAAGGUGACAGUUGUUAAAGAUUUAUCGCUUGAGGAGGAGCUUGCGGCAGAUUAGCUAGUUGGUAGGGUAACGGCUUACCAAGGCUACGAUCUGUAACCGGUCUAAGAGGACGGUCGGUCACACUGACACUGAAUAACGGGUCAGACUCCUACGGGAGGCAGCAGUCGGGAAUUUUGGGCAAUGGGCGAAAGCCUGACCCAGCAACGCCGCGUGAAGGAUGAAGUAUUUCGGUAUGUAAACUUCGAAAGAAUAGGAAGAAUUAAUGACGGUACUAUUUAUAAGGUCCGGCUAACUACGUG
rnacentral:rRNA from 1 species